rnacentral:rRNA from 1 species
AGUGAACGCUGGCGGUAGGCCUAACACAUGCAAGUCGAACGGCAGCACAGUAAGAGCUUGCCCUUACGGGUGGCGAGUGGCGGACGGGUGAGGAAUACAUCGGAAACUACUUUUUCGUGGGUGAUAACGUAGGGCAACUUACGCUACUACCGCAUACGAUCAACGGGUGAAAUCAGGGGAGCUUCGCACUCUUGCCGUCUGAAAUAGACGAUGCCGGAUUAGCUAGUUGGGGGGGUAAAGGCACACCAAGGCGACGAUCCGUAGCAGGUCUGAGAGGAUGAUCAGCCACACUGGAACUGAGACACGGUCCAGACUCCUACGGGAGGCAGCAGUAGGGAAUAUUGGACAAUGGGCGCAAGCCUGAUCCAGCCAUACCGCGUGGGUGAAGAAGGCCUUCGGGUUGUAAAGCCCUGUUGUUGGGAAAGAAAAGCAGCAGGUGAAUACCCCGCUGUUCUGACGGUACCCAAAGAAAAAGCACCGGCUAACUUCGUG